GUCAUUGUGAAGGGUGUGCGGGUCCCAGCUUGGCAGUGCCGAGUGCCCAGGCAAACCUGGUUUGCAGCAGCUCUUCUUCUGUGGCUUGAUCCCAAGCAAGGGUCUUUUGCUUCUUGUUGCUCUACAGGGAAAGAUGAGAGCUUCCCAGACUCUGCAAGGUGGGAGCAGCGCCUACUAAAGUUCCUGAGGGCAUCAUUGGACACCAUGGAGGAUGAGGCCUGGACCAAGGGCCUGAGCUGCGAGCUGAGCCGGUGGCUGAGCAGCUCUGCCAGCAGCUCUGGAGAAAAGUCUUUCCUGUACAAGGCUCUGGGGACAGUGCUGGGAGCUUGUAAGGAAGUCCUCCACAUCCAAGAGAAGCUUCUGCAACAC
ensembl:lncRNA